AACGCUAGCUACAGGCUUAACACAUGCAAGUCGAGGGGCAGCAUAGAAGUAGCAAUACUUUGGUGGCGACCGGCGCACGGGUGAGUAACGCGUAUGCAACCUACCUAUCAGAGGGGAAUAACCCGGCGAAAGUCGGACUAAUACCGCAUAAAACAGGGGCACCGCAUGGUGAUAUUUGUUAAAGAAAUUCGCUGAUAGAUGGGCAUGCGUUCCAUUAGGUAGUUGGUGAGGUAACGGCUCACCAAGCCGACGAUGGAUAGGGGAACUGAGAGGUUGGUCCCCCACACUGGUACUGAGACACGGACCAGACUCCUACGGGAGGCAGCAGUGAGGAAUAUUGGUCAAUGGGCGAGAGCCUGAACCAGCCAAGUCGCGUGAAGGAAGAAGGAUCUAUGGUUCGUAAACUUCUUUUGCAGGGGAAUAAAGUGCAGGACGUGUCCUGUUUUGUAUGUACCCUGAGAAUAAGGAUCGGCUAACUCCGUGCCAGCAGCCGCGGUAAUACGGAGGAUCCGAGCGUUAUCCGGAUUUAUUGGGUUUAAAGGGUGCGUAGGUGGUUUGAUAAGUCAGCGGUGAAAGUUUGCAGCUUAACUGUAAAAAUGCCGUUGAAACUGUCGGACUUGAGUGUAAAUGAGGUAGGCGGAAUGCGUGGUGUAGCGGUGAAAUGCAUAGAUAUCACGAAGAACUCCGAUUG
rnacentral:rRNA from 1 species